rnacentral:lncRNA from 1 species
UAAUAGUAGCAGUAGUAUGGGGAAGAGUAGUAUGGGGAAAAGUAGUAUUAGUGGAAGCAGCAGUAACAGUAGAAGUAGCAGUCGUUGUAGCAGUACAACCAGUAUCAACAGACAUAAUAAAAAAAUUAUUAAACAUAGCAUUUUGAAUGAUGAUAAACUGAAAAAUAAGAAAAAGGAAAAAAAGGAAAAAAAAGAAAAAAAGGAAAAAAAGAAAAGUGAUGAACAUAAUACUGGUGAUUGUAUCAGAAACAAAAUGAAUGACAAUGAAAAUAAUUUUACAGAUAAUAUUAUAAAAAAUAAAUUAAAAAGUGACAAAGAUAUAAAAAAACAAAAUAAAAAAAUACUACUUAAUAGACAUCAGUUAAAUAAAAGAAGUACUUUAAACAGUAGUUUCAUCAGUAGUAGUAAUGUUAAAAGUAGUAAGGAUUUGGCCAAUUCACUUAACAAUAACAAUAAUAUUCAAUCUCAUUUAAAUCAAAGUAAAAACGAACAAAGUAGUAGUGGCGAUAUUAGUUGUAGCCCUAGUCCUAAUAAUAAUAGUAGUAGAAAGAAUACAACUACUACUUCCAGUAACAAUUCUGAGGUUAGUACUAAUAAAGACGAGGUAAAAAAGGAAGNNNNNNNNNNNNNNNNNNNNNNNNNNNNNNNNNNNNNNNNNNNNNNNNNNNNNNNNNNNNNNNNNNNNNNNNNNNNNNNNNNNNNNNNNNNNNNNNNNNNCAAUGGAUUGAUAAAUAUGGGUGGCAAUCGUGGUAGUAGUAAUAAUAGUAGUAGUAGUAAUAGCAGUAGUAGUAAUAAUUAUAUAAAGGGUGACAGUAAGGGUCAAGAACAGGCGGAUGACAAGCACAGUGAAAGUUUUAUCUGUCUUAUGUGUAGUUACGUAGCAAACGAAUUAAAAGUUAUCUGUCAAAAUAGUGAAAUGAUGAGACAAAAAAUGAUUAUUUUUAAAGCUGAUGCUUGGGAUAGACUUUCCGAGUUAGGUAUAAUGGAAUUUUUAACAGUACCUAAAGAUUUUAAAGAUAAAAAUAAAAGUAUUUUUAAAUCAUCUUUUUUAACUAGUGAACAAAUAAAACUUGCUAAUGAAUAUUAUGCCAUAUCCCAAGAAUCAUUAUUAAUGAUACAGUUUUCAAUUUUAUGGGCAACCUAUAUUUAUAAACUGAGUAACAAAGAAAUUGUUAUAACAGAAAAAAAAAAAAAAGAAAUUAAUAAUAAGAGUGGUUUAAAUAAUAAUUAUACUAAUCAAACAAUUUUUAGUGAUGUAAUAUAUUUAACUGCCUCUUCUAACAUUUAUUCAUUUUUUGAAUGUUUAUAUGAACAAGAUAUCAAAUUAGUACUUCCACUGUGUGUCACGGUGAAUCAAAUUAAUCAAUAUAUACAAGAUGAACAUAGCUAUAUCAUAGAUUUAUUAAUAAAAAACAAAACUUUGGAUAAAAACAUUAAUUUUAAUUUUAAUAAAGCGUUUAUACAACGAUUUGUACGUGAAAAAUAUUCGAAAUAUUUAAACAUAGUCAUGAUACAAACGCAUAAUAAGGUAUCGGAAGUAGCUUUGCAUGACAACGUUGCUACAAGUGACACUGUCAUUGUUGAAAAUGUUGGGUUGCAGUCGAGCACAAACCAACAUUCACUUUCUAAUGAUAAGAACAAAGGUGGUGAACAUAAUGGUAGGAAUUAUCAUAACAAUAACGAUAGUAGUAGUAAAAAUAACAUGAAUAGUUGUUAUUUUAACGAAAAUGUAAAAAAUGAUAAUAAAAUGAGCAAUAACGAUAUUGUCACCUUAACUGACGAGGGACCUAUUGGAGACUACAACAAAAACGAAACAGAUAGCAAAACAAAAAACGUAAAACAAGAUGUGGACAUAAUUUUGAGUACAAACCAGUUUAGUUCUAUAUAUUAUAACGAAUUUAAUAAUAAAAAAAAAAAAAAAAAUGUAAUACCUAUUGAUAAUAAUAGCAAAGAUGGUAAGUUAGAAAUAGGAAAAAACCAAGAUGUAAUAAUACCUGAAGUGAUAAAUGGAAGUAUCCACAAUGUCAAUUAUGAUAAUAACACUAAUGACAGUAACAUCAAUACGAAUGCAUAUAAUAACAUGUAUGACGAGAGUUAUAUGAAAGCAAAGACAAAAGAUAAGACAAAAGAUAAGGUAAAAGAUAAGGUAAAAGAUAAGGUAAAAGAGAAGGCAAAAGAGAAGGCAAAAGAGAAGGCAAAAGAGAAAACAAAAGAGAAGGCAAAAGCGAACGUAAAUAUAAAUUUAAACAAACAAUAUCAUUUACGAAAUAAUAAAAAUUAUGACAUUCUGCAUUUGUUACGAAGUGAUAGUGAUGACAUUAGUGCGUUAGUAGACAAGAUAGAAAAGAAGGGGGGGAAAGAGACUUACGAUAUAUAUGCUUUAAAAAAUGAUAAAAGCAGGAGCAGCAGUAGCAGCAAGAGUAAAAGCAAAAGUAAGGGCGACAAUAAUAGUGAGCAUAUAGGAAAAAAGAAAGAGAAUGAAUACAAUAAAGAUGUAAACACUAACUUACCACAUAACAACAAUUUAAUGUUACUAAAAAGUAACAUAGAAGUAAAUAAUUAUUUGAAAAAAAGAGGAAGUAUAUUUGAAGAUAAUAUUGUUGUUACUAGUGCUGUUGCAAGCAGUAGUAAUGACUAUAAUGUCAAAAACGAUAAUAAUAACAUAAAUAAUAUAAAUAAUAUAAACAAUAUAAACAAUAUAAACAAUUUAAAUAAUAUAAACAAUAUAAAUAAUAUAAACAAUAUAAACAGUAUAAAUAAUGACAUAAAUAAUGAUAUAAAUAGUGAUAAACAUGUUGUUAAUACUGUUAGUACCAUUAAUAAUAACAAUAUUAACAAUAAUAAUAUGAAUAGUAUAAAAAAAAUUGAUAACAUAUUAUAUCAUGUUAACAUAGAAAAUCAACUGUUAAACAAUGUAAACGUAAUGAAUAAUACUUGUCCUAUAGAUAAAGAAACAACAGACUCAGAUAUUAAAGUUGUAACGAGUGACAACAAUAACAAUGUUGUUCAUACAAAAGAAAACAAACACAGUAUAUAUAACUUAUUAGUUAGCGCAUUUAAAAGUAAUAAGAAUAAAGAAAAAAAACAGACAAAGGGUAUGAUGAACAACGAUCAGUUUGUAGCUGUUAACAACAACAGCAACAGUAAUGACAAUAACAACAAUGGCAACAACAACAAUGACAACAACAACAAUGAGAAAAAUGACAAUAAAAACAACAACAACAAUAACAACGAUAAUCAUUUUAAUAUUAUUACCAGUGGGUCAACUCACUUGGUAAAUCAUUCGGCAAACGAGAAUGUGUCUAAAACACAACUGAAUGAUCAUAUAACAAAUGUAAUGAGUAAUAUUAACAAUGCUAAGUUAGGAAAGAAUAACAACAUGAACCUGUUUAAUACGACAUAUACUUCUGUCGUAAAUGAUGAUAAUAAAACCAUUGACGAUGUAUCAUCGAAUACAUAUAAUAAUUAUAACAAUAAAAUUAACAAAAGUAACAAUAACAAUAAUAUAUUGAAUAAUGUAACGAAUGAUGUAACGAAUGAUGUAACGAAUGAUGCAGGUGCAGCUAGCGCAAACAAUAAUAACAAAACUUACUUCAGUAAUUUUAAAAAUAACACGUACAAUAACAAUAAUAAUAAUAAUAAUAAUAAUGUUGAUAGUAACAUCAACAAUGUUAACAAUAGGUCAUUGUAUGAUGCUGAUGCUGAAUUUAGUUUACUUUUAAGAUCCAUAUCGAAUAAUGUGCAACAUAAUCUGAAUAUAUACCCAGAUAAAAGUGAUAACAUUAAAAAAGGAAGUAAUAUAAAUAAUGUAUUUAAGACAAUUGGAAAGGUUACUCCUUACUUGAGUAAUGUUAAUGAAUUAAGUACUAAAGGGAAAGAGGGAAAGAAGGACAUUGUACGCGAUAAAGCAAAUGUUAAUAAUAAUGGAAAGGAUAACGGAAAUAAUAAUAAUAACGAAAAUGAUAAUAAUAACAGAAACGGAAACGGAAACGGAAACGAAAACGGAAACGGAAACAGAAACGAAAAUGAGAGUAAAAUAUAUCUUAAUGAUACAAGACACAAGUUACAGGCAAUAAAAAAAAUUUAUAAAAAGCAUAAUAAAGAUAUUUUAAUUACAGCACUAGUACUAGAAGAAAUCAUCUUAUCUCCAGAAGUAUUUAAACA